UUACCACGGGACUGUCACAAAGUAAAAGCGUCUACUGGUGAACUUAAGGCCUACCCAUUGGCAUAAGGGGAAUCACGAGAAGCACGGCGCUGCGGAGGGGAACGGCUAUAGCUGCGGUCACGUCGAGGUGGUGUGAUGCUGCGGUCACGUCGAGGAGGUGUGAUGCUGCGGCGGCGCAGAGAUCUAUCCCGGGGGCUGUAGCUCCUGCAAUUUUAUGCAGGUUGGAUGAAUAUACUCACAUAAAAGAAAAGGCCAAAUGUACGGACAGCAAACAAAACAUGUAGAACAGAAAGUUCUAUAGGAAAAAUCAAAGUAUGACACACACUAUGUUCUAUCAAAAAGAACAAUCACCAUUGUGAUCUUAUUCUCCUAAUCUUGUUCAAUUGGAGACUUUUACCAUAAAACACAAACAGCUUUUAUAUACUGUAAAGCAUGGAAAGAG
rnacentral:lncRNA from 1 species